UACGGAGGGUGCGAGCGUUGUCCGGAAUCAUUGGGCGUAAAGGGCGCGUAGGUGGCCCGGUUAGUUCGUGGUGAAAGCGCGGGGCUCAACCCUGCGUCGGCCAUGAAUACUGCCGCGGCUGGAGCACUGUAGAGGCAGGCGGAAUUCCGGGUGUAGCGGUGGAAUGCGUAGAGAUCCGGAAGAACACCGGUGGCGAAGGCGGCCUGCUGGGCAGUUGCUGACACUGAGGCGCGACAGCGUGGGGAGCAAACAGG
rnacentral:rRNA from 1 species